rnacentral:rRNA from 1 species
CGUGAGGCGGAGCUAAUCCCUUAAAGCCAUUCUCAGUUCGGAUUGUAGGCUGAAACUCGCCUACAUGAAGCUGGAGUUACUAGUAAUCGCGGAUCAGAAUGCCGCGGUGAAUACGUUCCCGGGUCUUGUACACACCGCCCGUCACACCAUGGGAGUCGGAAAUGCCCGAAGUCUGUGACCCAACCUCAGGGAGGGAGCAGCCGAAGGCAGGUCGGAUGACUGGGGUGAAGUCGUAACAAGGUAAC